AAGAGGCACAAGGAGCGUUUUUAUUUGGUUUAAACAUGAUUACAAAGACAUCUCACCUACGGUGUAUCCUAACAAUAGUAACAUGUUUAACUGUGAAUUGGACAAAGAUAUAAUUUGGAUCAAAAAUAAGCACUUACACUGGAAAGAGAAGACCCAAGGAAGAUCAUGUGUUUGAAGCAUUGGGAACAACAGAUGAGCUGUCGAUCAGCAAUAGGAUUCAGUGUGUCUUACAAGAUGUGGGAUCCAACAUUACCACACUUCUGUCAUCUGCAAGAGAAAGAUAAGUAAAUAUAUUUCUGCAAAUCCUUUUGUAGAAUCAUUACACACAGCUCACCCCAGCCAGUGGCCUUCUCAUUCUACUCAUACUCUUAUCUCACUCUAUCCAACAGAGAAAAGCAAGUUCAGUUCCCAGCCAGUGGCAGACCUGGAAAGCUGUCUCGACGCAUUCAGAGGAGCUGCCACCACUGACAAACUUUAUAUUACCUUUAAGCACCCACUCUGGAUGAAACUUUUCUUUCAUUUCUUUAUUUCUAUUUUUUUAUUUCACCGUUAUUUUACCAGAUAGGCCAGUUGAGAACAAGUUCUCAUUUACAACUGCGACCUGGCCAAGAUAAAGCAAAGCAGUG